GACGAACGCUGGCGGCGUGCUUAACACAUGCAAGUCGAGCGAUGAAGUUCCUUCGGGAAUGGAUUAGCGGCGGACGGGUGAGUAACACGUGGGUAACCUACCUUACAUUGGGGGAUAGCCUUUCGAAAGGGAGAUUAAUACCGCAUAAGACAGUAGCUGGGCAUCCAGCAGCUGUUAAAGAUUUAUCGAUGUAAGCUGGGCAUGCGUCCAAUUAGCUAGUUGGUGAGGUAACGGCUCACCAAGGCAAUGAUUGGUAGGGGAACUGAGAGGUCAAUCCCCCACACUGGCACUGAGAUACGGGCCAGACUCCUACGGGAGGCAGCAGUAGGGAAUAUUGGGCAAUGGACGCAAGUCUGACCCAGCCAUGCCGCGUGCAGGAUGAAGGCGUUAUGCGUUGUAAACUGCUUUUAUACAGGAAGAAACGACUCUUGCGAGAGGCAUUGACGGUACUGUAUGAAUAAGCACCGGCUAACUCCGUGCCAGCCGCCGCCGUAAAAC
rnacentral:rRNA from 1 species